ACGAACGCUGGCGGCAGGCCUAACACAUGCAAGUCGAGCGGACCUUUCGGGGUCAGCGGCGGACGGGUGAGUAACGCGUGGGAAUAUGCCCUUCUCUACGGAAUAGUCCUGGGAAACUGGGGGUAAUACCGUAUACGCCCUUUGGGGGAAAGAUUUAUCGGGGAAGGAUUAGCCCGCGUUGGAUUAGGUAGUUGGUGGGGUAAUGGCCUACCAAGCCGACGAUCCAUAGCUGGUUUGAGAGGAUGAUCAGCCACACUGGGACUGAGACACGGCCCAGACUCCUACGGGAAGCAGCAGUGGGGAAUCUUAGACAAUGGGGGCAACCCUGAUCUAGCCAUGCCGCGUGAGUGAUGAAGGCCUUAGGGUUGUAAAGCUCUUUCAGCUGGGAAGAUAAUGACGGUACCAGCAGAAGAAGCCCCGGCUAACUCCGUG
rnacentral:rRNA from 1 species